GACGAACGCUGGCGGCGUGCCUAAUACAUGCAAGUAGAACGCUGAAGGAGGAGCUUGCUUCUCUGGAUGAGUUGCGAACGGGUGAGUAACGCGUAGGUAACCUGCCUGGUAGCGGGGGAUAACUAUUGGAAACGAUAGCUAAUACCGCAUAAGAGUAGAUGUUGCAUGACAUUUGCUUAAAAGGUGCAAUUGCAUCACUACCAGAUGGACCUGCGUUGUAUUAGCUAGUUGGUGGGGUAACGGCUCACCAAGGCGACGAUACAUAGCCGACCUGAGAGGGUGAUCGGCCACACUGGGACUGAGACACGGCCCAGACUCCUACGGGAGGCAGCAGUAGGGAAUCUUCGGCAAUGGACGGAAGUCUGACCGAGCAACGCCGCGUGAGUGAAGAAGGUUUUCGGAUCGUAAAGCUCUGUUGUAAGAGAAGAACGAGUGUGAGAGUGGAAAGUUCACACUGUGACGGUAUCUUACCAGAAAGGGACCGCUAACUACGUG
rnacentral:rRNA from 1 species